AGAGAGAGACAUGCGCGCAUAUCAAUAAGCGGAGGAAAAGAAACUAACUAAGGAUUCCCUCAGUAACGGCGAGUGAAGCGGGAAGAGCUCAAAUUUGAAAUCUUCAAGGUUCUACCUUGACGAAUUGUAGUUUAAAGAAGUGUUUUCUGUUGAAGUUUUGGUAAAAGUUCUUUGGAAUAGGACAUCAUAGAGGGUGAGAAUCCCGUAUUUGACCAUUAUUUCCAGCUUUGUGAUACACUUUCAAAGAGUCGGAUUGUUUGGGAAUGCAGUCCAAAAUGGGUGGUAAAUUUCAUCUAAAGCUAAAUACUGGCGAGAGACCGAUAGCGAACAAGUACCGUGAGGGAAAGAUGAAAAGAACUUUGAAAAGAGAGUUAAACAGUACGUGAAAUUGUCAAAAGGGAAGCGUUUGACACCAGUGUUGUUUUCUCGAAAAUCAAUUAAAAAUGGCUAGAUUUUGUAUUGUGAUUGACUUAAUCAGCUUCACUGUACACUCUUUUCGUGUCUUUUUUAAUGCACUUUUCGUUUAACAAGUCAACAUCAGUUUCUUUUGUUGUAAAAGGGUCAUUGGAAGGUGGCUUUCUUUUCGGAGAAAGUGUUUAUAGCCUUUGGCCUCUGCAAUCGAAGAGAUUGAGGUCUGCAGCGUAGAUCCUUCGGGGUUAGAUACAUUUGUGCUAAGUUAUAGCCUUUUCAUAGACAACUUGUUGACUAUAAUCAGUCAUGUAGCUUACUCGCUUAUGCUAUUUUACCUACGCUUAGGAUGUUGAAGAUGUAGCACAUCAU
rnacentral:rRNA from 1 species